rnacentral:rRNA from 1 species
GAUGAACGCUAGCGGGAGGCCUAACACAUGCAAGUCGAGCGGUAAUGCUUCUUCUGAAAUGAGCGAGCGGCGUACGGGCGCGUAACACGUGUGCAUCCUGCCCUUAUUUGGGGAAUAGCCUUUCGAAAGGAAGCUUAAUCCUCCAUAAUAUAUUGAACGUCAUUGCUUAAUAUUCAAAGCUCCUGUGGAUAGCGAUGGGCACGCGCGACGUUGGCUAGUUGGUGAGGUAACGGCUUACCAGGGCGAUGAUCUUUAGGGGGCCUGGGAGGGUGAUCCCCCACACUAGAGCUGAGACACGGACCAGAGUACUGCGGGAGGCAGCAGUGAGGAAUAGUAGGCAGUGGGUGCAAGCCUUAGCCAGCCAUCCCGCGUGAAGGACGGCUGCCCUGUGGGUUGUAAACUUCUUUUAUGUAGGGAUAGACCUACCCUCGGGGAGGUAGCUGAAGGUACUGGAGGAAUAAGCACCGGCUAACUCCGUG